rnacentral:rRNA from 1 species
AGAUUGAACGCUGGCGGCAUGCUUUACACAUGCAAGUCGAACGGUAACAGGCCGCAAGGUGCUGACGAGUGGCGAACGGGUGAGUAAUGCAUCGGAACGUGCCCAGUCGUGGGGGAUAACGGCAGCGAAAGCUGUGCUAAUACCGCAUACGAUCUAUGGAUGAAAGCGGGGGACCGAAAGGCCUCGCGCGAUUGGGAGCGGCCGAUGUCAGAUUAGCUAGUUGUGGGUAAAGGCCCACCAAGGCGACGAUCUGUCGCUGGUCUGAGAGGACGACCAGCCACACUGGAACUGAGACACGGUCAGACUCCGUAACGGGAGGCAGCGAGUGGGGAAUUUUAGGACAAGUGGGCGCGAAGCCUAGGAUCCGAGCG